rnacentral:misc_RNA from 1 species
AAGUCGUAACAAGGUCUCCGUUGGUGAACCAGCGGAGGGAUCAUUACCGAGUCACGUGCUCAAACAACCCUUCUGUGGACCUAAACCAAACCGUUGCCUCGGCGGGCGGUCCCCUGCCAAAACCCACGUGGUGUAGGCAGGGGACCAGACAGUCCGGUACGCUUGAGGCGUCCGGCGCCAGCCGCUGGCCCUAAAUAACUAAACUCUAGUAACCUUACCUUCUGAGUUUCAAUAUUAAAAAAUAAGUCAAAACUUUCAACAACGGAUCUCUUGGCUCUG